rnacentral:tRNA from 1 species
GCCUAGGUAGCUCAGUCGGUAGAGCAGUGGAUUGAAAAUCCUCGUGUCGGUGGUUCGAUUCCGCCCCUGGGCACCA